AUGGAGCAUACCUCUGAAGAAGAAUCUGAGAUUAGUGAUUCGGAGAUCGAUGAGUACAAGGACAAGAUCUACGCUCAACUGCGGUCCCAAAAAUUGAAAGUGCAGUAUGGUGAGAAGAUCUUCCGGUGCCCCUUCUGCCUAGGGAAAAAGAAGCGAGAUUACAACGUCAAGGAUCUUCUGCAGCAUGCCUCAGGAAUAGGGGCUGCUCAGAAACGCAAGCCCAGGGUGAGGGCAGCACACCUAGCACUUGCAGAGUAUGUGAAGAAUGAUUUGGGCAGCUCCUUGGAACCAUCAUUGCAACUUGCCAUCGUUGAGUAUAAGCCUCCUAAGAUUGAACAAGACAAGUUCGUAUGGCCGUGGAUGGGCAUUCUGGUUAAUAUACCAGCUGAUUUGAUGGAUACAAAUUUUGUCAGGGAGAGUGAGCAUAUGUUAAAAUCGCAGUUAUCACGGUUCAGACCAUGCGAAGUCACUAUUCUUUUGGAUUCCAAGGGCCAGACUGAUCACUCCAUCGUCAAGUUUGCUGAAGACUGGACUGGGUUCAAGGAUGCAUUAGCUUUUGAAAACCAUUUCAUAGUGGAGCAGUACAGUAAGACUGAUUGGACCAGAAGAAACUGUAAAAUGGACGAUCUUUAUGGAUGGCUUGCAAGAUCUGAUGAUUAUAACUCUCAUGGGACAAUAGGAGAGCAUUUGAGGAAAAUUGGAGUUCUAAAAAGUGUUGGUGAUCGGGAACAUGAGAGAACUGAGCGUAUUGCUCAUUUUACUCGCCAAAUGGAAGAGAAGAAUAAGCAUUUACAAGAACUGGAGCUGAAGCACAAUCAAACUGCAAUGAAACUUGAAAGCAUGAUGAAAGACAAGGAUCGAAUGGUUGAGGAAUAUAAUGAAAAGAUAAGAAAGAUGCAGGAAGACGCUCGUAGGAAUUCUAGUAAAAUAGUUGAAGAUAAUCAAAGACUGCAACAGGAACUGAAGACCAGGAGAGAACAAGCCAUCCGGAGACAUAAGCAACUUGAAGAGUUGGCUAGGAAAAGUAAUAUUGACAGAGCAAAAGUCGAAGCAGAGAAAGAAAAGAAUGCAAACGAGAAUGUUCUUCUUGACUUAGCAACCCUAAAGCAUAAGAAGGCGCGUGAAGAGCUCAGGCAGCUUCUCAAGAAACACGAGCAAGAGAAAGAAGAUGCUUUCAGGAGGCAAUACAAACUGGAAGAGGACUUAACUUCUAAGCAGAAUCUUGAGAUGGAAUUAGCACAGUUGAGAGGGAAGUUAGAGGUAAUGAAGCACAUGGGAGCUGAGGCAGAUACAACAUCAAAGGAAUUUGAUAAGGUGUCUGAAGAGCUGAAAGAGAAAGAUGAACAACUUGAAGCCAUGGAAUCUGCAAACCAGGCCCUUAUUAUUGUGGAACGAAGGACCAAUGAUGAACUUGAACAAGCCAAGAAAGAACUUAUACAGGGCCUACAACAGAUACAAGUAACUCGAUCCACUAUUGGUGUCAAAAGAAUGGGUGUGCUUGAUGAAAAAGCUUUUGUUGCUGCAUGCAAAAAGAAAGAGGGAAAUGGUGUUUCGAAAAAAAAUGCAAAGUAUGAUGUAGAGGCAACACUUGUGUUAUCAAAAUGGGAAGAUGAGAUCAAGCAACCAGAUUGGCAUCCUUUCAAAGUUAUCGAUGUUGAUGGACAGACAAAGGAAAUAGUCCGGGAAGACGAUGAGAAGCUGCAAGCCCUGAAAGAAGAGCUAGGGCAGGAGGCCCACGAUGUUGUGGUCAAGGCCCUUCUUGAGAUGAACGAAUACAACCCCAGCGGCAGGUACCCCGUCCCCGUGCUGUGGAACUUCAAGGAGAACCGGAGAGCGCCGCUUGACGAGGCAGUAGCCUACAUUCUCAAGCAGUGGAAGGCGAGCAAGAACAAGAGAACGUACUUCUCCUGA
rnacentral:rRNA from 1 species